CCUACGGGAGGCAGCAGUGAGGAAUAUUGGUCAAUGGGCGGGAGCCUGAACCAGCCAAGUCGCGUGAGGGAAGACGGUCCUAUGGAUUGUAAACCUCUUUAGUCGGGGAGCAAUGCCGGGCACGUGUGCCCUGAGGGAGAGUACCCGCAGAAUAAGCAUCGGCGAACUCCGUGCCAGCAGCCGCGGUACUACGGAGGAUGCGAGCGUUAUCCGGAUUUAGUGGGUUUAAAGGGUGCGUAGGCGGAGUUUUAAGUCAGCGGUAAAAUGUCCGGGCUAAAUCCGGGCCGGCCGUUGAAACUGGGGAUCUUGAGUGGGCGAGAGGUAGGGGGAAUGCGUGGUGUAGCGGUGAAAUGCAUAGAGAUCAGGAAGAACUCCGAUUGCGAAGGCAGCAUACCGGCGCCCGACUGACGCUGAGGCACGAAAGCGUGGGGAUCGAACAGGAUUAGAUACCCUAGUAGUC
rnacentral:rRNA from 1 species